AAUCAUGAAUGCUUAUUGCACCACAUGUGUUUUUCUUUGAAACAAACUUGCUUUGGCGGUGGGCCCAGCCUGCCGCCAGAGGUCUAAACUUACAACCAAUUUUUUAUCAACUUGUCACACCAGAUUAUUACUUAAUAGUCAAAACUUUCAACAACGGAUCUCUUGGUUCUCGCAUCGAUGAAGAACGCAGCGAAAUGCGAUACGUAAUAUGAAUUGCAGAUAUUCGUGAAUCAUCGAAUCUUUGAACGCACAUUGCGCCCUCUGGUAUUCCGGAGGGCAUGCCUGUUUGAGCGUCGUUUCUCCCUCAAACCGCUGGGUUUGGUGUUGAGCAAUACGACUUGGGUUUGCUUGAAAGACGGUAGUGGUAAGGCGGGAUCGCUUUGACAAUGGCUUAGGUCUAACCAAAAACAUUGCUUGCGGCGGUAACGUCCACCACGUAUAUCUUCAAACUUUGACCUCAAAUCAGGUAGGACUACCCGCUGAACUUAAGCAUAUCAAUAAGGCGGAGGAA
rnacentral:rRNA from 1 species